ACUUAAGUAGUUUAUUAAAAAUGUUGAUUUGUGGUGUCAAUGAAUUAGAAUUAUCUAUCUUAGGUC
rnacentral:tRNA from 1 species